CGAACGGGUGAGUAAUGCAUCGGAACGUACCCAGAAGUGGGGGAUAGCUCGGCGAAAGCCGGAUUAAUACCGCAUAUUCUCUUAGGAGGAAAGCAGGGGAUCGCAAGACCUUGCGCUUUUGGAGCGGCCGAUGUCGGAUUAGCUAGUUGGUGAGGUAAAAGCUCACCAAGGCGACGAUCCGUAGCUGGUCUGAGAGGACGACCAGCCGCACUGGGACUGAGACACGGCCCAG
rnacentral:rRNA from 1 species